GUAACAACAAUGGGAUCGAAAGUGUCUAUGUGAAACUCGAGAUGAAUGUACGUCAUUCUCUCCAUUUUCAAGCAAGGAGGCAGCAAUGAUCAUAUUUGUUGAUACACGGUAAUAACUGUAAUCUGAAGUGUUUAAACACGAGUCAUAUAGUAUAGCAAUCAUGUAUCUGGCUGUAUCGCGUACCCUGUGUAUGGUAUUGUCCCGACAGACUACGGGGGCAAGGGCGGAGCCAAAAAAGAAGAAAGUGGACCCUCGUAAAGAACACUAUUAGUGCAAUCCAAAUUCAUUGCUCUGUCCUAAUGUACACCUGAACAGUUCCUUACUCUAUUUGUUCAUUUCCUCUAGGGUGUGCUGUGUUCCUCAGCUUCCCUUUGAGGAGAGUGAAUAACAGGCUCUACUGCUGAAGGAGUGGUCCUGCUACAAACAGUUAUGUGAUCUUGUAAGCCAAUGUUGGCCGAAGCUUCAUCACCACAGCCCCGUUAAAGAUCCUUAUUUAGAAGCAAAAAAACAAUGAGCAGACAAUUUACUGUACCUUCUUUGCAGACAUUUUGUUAUAACCAAUUCCUGUGCCACAUUCGAAUUUCUUCCCACCCUGCCCCUCUAUGAGCAGACCCAGCACCGGGUUGAGAUGGAGGCAGUAAGUCUGGCUGUGGAGGCCAAGUGGGAUGCUCUGGAGGAGCUGAGGCUGGAGUGAGAGGAGCUCUACAAGGCAUCACUGAGGCCAAACCCCCUGCUAUUCCCUUUCAACCACCAGGGAUUCAGCUUCACGAGGCACCUGAGAGCAAAUGCAACAUCAAAGUUCACACCCAGUGAGUGUAACACAUUGUGGGCGUAAUACGUGUUGACAUGGAUGUUCAUCCAUGUUUUCACAUGAUUUGAACGGACAGACAAAAUAUUUGACGAGGAUGUUCAUGAAAGAAGAUGAGACAUUAAAGCUUGCUCAGAACAAUGGCCCGGGCACCAUUAGUGGGUGUAUGUCUCAUUCAAAGUAAGGGUCAUUUAACUGCUUUACUGACCAUGACCUAUUCAUCGUAUUGACAACUGCCCUAGCAUGGAUAUAGAAGUUUCUAUUCACACUCAUGAAGUGAUUCACAUUCUGUAGUGUGUGUGCUCUGUAAUGUUACAUUCAUAGAUCUCAUAGGUUUAAAUACAGUCUGUAAGUAAAACAUACCAGGGGGUUAAAAUAAAGAAUUCACAUUUGUUUUAUUUGAAA